UACGUAGGGGGCAAGCGUUGUCCGGAUUUAUUGGGCGUAAAGAGCGUGUAGGCGGCCAGGUAGGUCUGCUGUGAAAACUCGAGGCUUAACCUCGAGCUGUCGGCGGAAACCAUAUGACUAGAGUCCGGAAGAGGAGAGUGGAAUUCCUGGUGUAGCGGCGAAAUGCGCAGAUAUCAGGAAGAACACCCGUGGCUAAGGCGGCUCUCUAGUACGGUACUGACGCUGAGACGCGAAAGCGUGGGAGCAAACAGG
rnacentral:rRNA from 1 species